UACGUAGGCAGCGAGCGUUGUUCGGAUUCAUUGGGCGUAAAGGGUGCGUAGGCGGCGGGGUAAGUCUGAUGUGAAAUCCCGGGGCUCAACCCCGGAACUGCAUUGGAUACUGCCUUGCUUGAGUACUGGAGAGGAGACUGGAAUUUACGGUGUAGCAGUGAAAUGCGUAGAGAUCGUAAGGAAGGCCAGUGGCGAAGGCGAGUCUCUGGACAGUAACUGACGCUGAGGCACGAAGGCCAGGGGAGCAAACGGG
rnacentral:rRNA from 1 species